GCUUCUUACCAGGCUUUAGAGAUGUCAAUAUGCUUGGACCAAAGAACCAAGAAGGAGGACAGACUGUAUUUUUACCUAGAAGGGAAGACAGAAUGGAGCCAGUGGUACCCAGAGAGUCCAAGAAAAGGUUGUAUAUUGACCGUAUAAGCCAGACAUUAGGUGAGCUGUAUUUGUUCAUUUCCAUGUGUUUUUUAUUCCCUUACCUCUUGUCCCCCUCCCCAUUCUUACUUACAUUACUAACAUAACAAACCUUUUUGCACUUUAUUGUUUGUGUCUUUCCAAAUAUGUAUUUGCCAUGUUUUUGUAUGAGAAUGAUGCAUUUUAAAAAGGUACUUUUUAAAUUGUUUUGGAACUGUACUAAUCCUGUGUCAGUUUCUACCAUUAUCAAGGGCACUAGGAGGGAUGGACAGAUGGCAGCCACCAACUCAAGGAAGAGGAGACCAUUGCCAGGAUACAGGGUAUCCACCAUAACAACAGGCCAACAUUGGCCAAAAUGAAUUAUAGUUAGCCUCAAUCCUAAUACAAAGAAUGACAACCCUACUUGUGAAGAAGAGUCCAGGGAGUUUGGAUCAAUUGAAGCCAAUCACUAAACAAAGGAUGACAGCAGGUAUAGAUAGAUGCCAAAUUGUGCAUAACCAAACAUUUAUGA